ACUGGGCAUGAUCAUAGGUGAAA
rnacentral:piRNA from 1 species